rnacentral:misc_RNA from 1 species
GCUCCUACCGAUUGAGUGAUCCGGUGAAUUAUUCGGACUGACGCAGUGCUUAGCUUCUGGACGUUGCGUUGGAAAGUUUCAUGAACCUUAUCACUUAGAGGAAGGAGAAGUCGUAACAAGGUUUCCGUAGGUGAACCUGCAGAAGGAUCAAGUUCGGAAGAGUACACGUGGGAACUCCAGGCACGAGGACUCGUCUGGUAUCCAGUCUCCUGCUCGAAAAAAAUAUGACGUACUCUGCUUGCCAAAGUAUAAACACAACUUCUGACCCAACUUUAC